rnacentral:misc_RNA from 1 species
CCCCGGUGGCUCGCGUGGGCGGGUGCAGCCCCCGGUGGCAGCGCCGGCCAGGCAUGGCCCCGGCGAGGGCGGCCCCUGCGCGGCGCGGGCCUGGCCUUCGACCCUGCGCGGCGCUCGAACUCCUCAGCUGCUACUCUUCCUCCUCUACUCCCUCACAGCCGCCACCCACGCCUCAGCCGCCGCCCCCCGGGAGGCUCAUCCUUCCCUCCCGGGGGCGGCCUCUCUCCUCCCAGCCGGCUGCCACUCCUUCCCCAGCUGGCUGCCAAGCCCCAUGGCCGGCGACCCUCCCUGGCGCGGCGCCCCCAAGUCGCCGCCACUCGCUCCCGCCGCCGUCGGUCCGCUGCGCUCCCCUUUCCCUCAUGACGGCCAGCCCCUCCCC